rnacentral:rRNA from 1 species
GACGAACGCUGGCGGCGUGCUUAACACAUGCAAGUCGAACGGAAAGGCCCCUUUGGGGGUACACGCGUGGCGCACGGGGGAGUAAAACGUGAGUAACCUGCCCUCGACUUCGGGGUAACUUCAGGGAACUGGGGCUCAUACCGGAUAGAAAUCCUUGCUGCGUGGUGGGGGUUGGAAAGCUUCGGGGGUUUUGGAUGGACUCGCGGCUUAUCAGCUUGUUGGUGGGGUAGUGGCUUACCAAGGCUUUGACGGGUAGCCGGCCUGAGAGGGUGACCGGCCACAUUGGGACUGAGAUACGGCCCAGACUCCUACGGGAGGCAGCAGUGGGGAAUAUUGCACAAUGGGUGGAAGCCUGAUGCAGCAACGCCGCGUGCGGGAUGACGGCCUUCGGGUUGUAAACCGCUUUCAGUAGUGGCGAAGCUUGGUGUGACGGUACUUGCAGAAGAAGCACCGGCUAACUACGUG